UCUUCGCCAACCGGCAAGCUCUUCCUUCAUCAGGUCUCAGAAACAGCAGUGGAAGCUAGGGAGGACAAAACAAGAAACCAAAGGAUAAAAAAAACGCAAAAUCAUUGUACUGGCGCCAAAUUCCGUUAGAUGGAGAACGCUGAAGUCCUAAAUAACGUCGACUACGCUUAUGUCGAGGGCUGCUCCUCCUCGUCAUCGUCGUCUUCCUCGGUUGAUGAAAAUGAGAUUUAUUCAGUGUAUUUCAAGGGUUUGGUGAGGGAAGAGAAGGCUAAUGACUCGGAAAUGGGUGGGGUGGGAAUUGGAAUUGGAGUUGUAAUCUGUGAUUCGAUGAAACAUAUGAUCUUCGAGUCGAGCAAGGCCAUGAAGAGCAGAGGAGACACGUGUCGGUUAGAAGCGAGACUUGAGGCUUUGAUUGAAGGAUUAACUAGUGCUAAACAACUUGGGAUUAGGAGGCUGAGGUUUUUCUGCAAGAGUCGCAAGCUUUACAAUUAUUUGAUAGAUGAUGAGAACGCUGAAGAGGGGUUGAAUAUGGAGACUGCAGAGGAGUUACGGAUGAUACCAACAAUCGGAAGGGUGAAAUCCCUACGAGCACAAUUUGAAGAAUGCAGCCCCUCUCUUGUCAGGAAAGAUGAUGCUGAGUUUGGUAGGCGAGCGGAUAACCUUGCAAGGAAAGCUAAAUUUGCCCAAGUCAGUUGUCCAGAAGUCAUUUCGAAAGAAACUUGUGAAAUUUGUAUGGAGGAUACUGAUGUGGUCAACAUGCUUUCAGUUCAUAAUUGCACUCAUAGAUGCUGUUCCUCUUGUGCGAAAAAGCAUGUCGAGGUGAAGUUGCGUGAGGGAACUUUGCCUAAAUGCCCUCAAGAUGGUUGUCAUUCCGACAUUAAGAUUGAUAAGUGCAUAAAUGUAUUAAGCCCUGAAUUAGUUGAGGUCUUGAAUCAACGGGUGAAGGAAGCUAAGAUUCCAGUUCUGGAUAGAAUUUAUUGUCCCCACCCACGGUGCUCAAAUCUGAUGUCAAAAACAGAGGUUCUGAAUUAUUCUAAAAGCAGAAACAAUAAUACUGAAAACGGAUAUGGGAUAUGCUUCAAGUGUCAUGGCCCUUUUUGCAUCAAUUGCAAGGUGCCUUGGCAUAAUGAGAUGACCUGUUCUGACUACAAAGAGCUGCACCCUUACUCGUGUAUAGAGGAUGAAAUGCUAAGUUCACUUGCCAAGAGGAACUCAUGGCAACAGUGCAUCAAGUGCAGCCAUAUGAUUGAACUUGAUGUAGGUUGCUACCACAUAAUUUGCAGGUACUUUUGUCUGUUUGUAUACUUCUUAGUAAUUGCCUCUAACGUUGCUCUCGAGGUAAUAGUUUGUGUGUCGGAAAUAACUCAAAUUGAUAUGAUAAGAGAUUUUGUUUCUAAGCUAUAACUGGCCGCCGACCUGCUUCUAUGUUGUUGUCAUUGCAUUACAUAGACAUCCCCCACGGCCAAGUAGAGUAUAACAGACUGCAGGCCAGAUCAGAUAUAAUAACAAUUCAUACUAACUACAGGUGCCAUAUGACUUAGUCAAUCUCAGUCGAAGUCUAUUCCAGCAGAUUGUUGCUUAUGGCAAAAUGAUUGACUGAACGUACUUCAAUAAGAUGGAGAAUCACAGAGGCAGUUUUAGAUUGGAGAGACCGUGUCAUUGGCUGUUAGUAUUUAGUUUCUCAUCUAAUGAUAGUGCUCAGUCAUCUUUCCACAUCUAUCUUUUUAUCUCUCGUGGUCUACACAUAAAACCUUACACCCUGCCAAUUUAUAGCCUUAUUUAUACUGAGAUAUUCUGCUCCCCUUUUCACCAAUUUCUGCUUCCCAACUCAAAGGCCACAGUUGAGUAAUUGUCCUUGAUUUCCUUGCUUCUGUGAAACCAAGAACGAGAUGCGGACAUCAGUUUUGUUAUACAUGUGGAUCGGAGUGGAAGGAAAACAAAGCCACUUGUAAUUGUCCACUCUGGGAUGAGGACCGGAUUAUAUAUUAACUUAGGCGCGAUAGACCUGCGUUUAGAAGAAUGUUUAUGGCCGAUGUACAACUUAUUACUGGACUUCCGAUAUUUGCUAGCUUGUACAUUUCAAGGGAUCAUUAUCUAUGGCACAGAUCAAUAUAUAGUAGAGUAAAGAGUUCGAUCUUCAGCAGCUCCCAUGGUAAUGGCUUGAGUUUGGAUUCGAGUUUUAUAAAAUUAGGCCGUGUUUAAACCAAUAA